rnacentral:lncRNA from 1 species
GUGAUUCAGUCGCAGAUUUCGGGCCAAAGAGUGUGGUAUCGAAGGCCAGGACGUGCCCCGAUACAGGCAGAGGUGUUGACUCAAGACCGAAAUACAGCCUGCAUCUUACCGUGGAGGGCGGACCUACCCCUCCUCGUACCUAUUAAACAUCUGUUUUACUCCCCUUGAGGUUUUAAGUUCACAGGAUGGCCCGCAGGAGCAACAUCACUCAAACACGCUUAUGAGGAAACAUCAUGACACCCUGUGACGCACUGCUGAACUUUUGGGGACUGGAGAGCAUGAAUCAGAAGCGCUACUGGUCCUUGAAAAAGAUACGCCUCGAGAAAGAACAUCAAGUACUGGCCCAACAGAACCGUGAAGGGGACUGCCACUGAUUGCCUUUAUUGUUUUGACAUUCUAUAUUGCGGCGGGUGUUGUGUAUGCGUCGCGAUGUGCAUUGUGUCUUGGGCCACCAGGUUGCAGGGGCUCACCCCCUACCUGCUCAGUCAUUGGUUCAUGCUGUGAAGGGGUGGAGUGUAGUGGAAUUCCAGGGUCACAGCCUGAACCAAUGGGUGGGCUCUGUGAGUGUGUGAGUGCGGCGGCGCGGCGGUACGAACGGGGGAGGGACACAUUCCUCAGCUCGGCUCGGUCUGCGCGCUGCUACCGGGAGGGGUGAGUCGAUUCUUUUUGAUAUCUUUCCCUCGUGUGCCUAUUUCUUAAAUAAAGGCUUUGUCAUCACCUUCAUUUGCCCUACAGUCCUUAAUGAGAUAUUCCAGUUUUUUGAAUGCCUGAACAAUUAGCAACACAGGAAGCAAACUGGAUAUGCACAGCAACCUGUGGGAAGAAAAGUAGCUGAUGACUGUGCCUCUGUUCUGUAUGACUUAAUACACGGAGAUCUGAGCAAUUGCUUCUUAGGAAUGUUCUUCAGCUGAACGUUCUUUGGUUUGCACCAGUGCUACAACUUCAUGGAAUUGCAUAUUAUUUUAGAAAUAUGAACCAAAAGAAGAAAUACGACUUCUGCAGAAAAACCACAAGUGAAAAGACC